rnacentral:rRNA from 1 species
AUUGAACGCUGGCGGCAGGCCUAACACAUGCAAGUCGAGCGGAUGAAGGGAGCUUGCUCCUGGAUUCAGCGGCGGACGGGUGAGUAAUGCCUAGGAAUCUGCCUGGUAGUGGGGGAUAACGUCCGGAAACGGCCGCUAAUACCCCAUACGUCCGGAGGGAGAAAGUGGGGGAUUUUCGGACCUCACGUAACAAGAUGAGCCUAGGUCGGAUUAGCUAGUUGGUGGGGUAAAGGCCUACCAAGGCGACGAUCCGUAACUGGUCUGAGAGGAUGAUCAGUCACACUGGAACUGAGACACGGUCCAGACUCCUACGGGAGGCAGCAGUGGGGAAUAUUGGACAAUGGGCGAAAGCCUGAUCCAGCCAUGCCGCGUGUGUGAAGAAGGUCUUCGGAUUGUAAAGCACUUUAAGUUGGGAGGAAGGGCAGUAAGUUAAUACCUUGCUGUUUUGACGUUACCAACAGAAUAAGCACCGGCUAACUUCGUG